AUUGAACGCUGGCGGCAGGCCUAACACAUGCAAGUCGAACGAGUGGCGGACGGGUGAGUAAUGUCUGGGAAACUGCCUGAUGGAGGGGGAUAACUACUGGAAACGUUCGCUAAUACCGCAUACCAUCAGAUGUGCCCAUAUGGGAUUAGCUAGUUGGUGGGGUAACGGCUCACCAAGGCGACGAUCCCUAGUUGGUCUGAGAGGAUGACCAGCCACAAUGGAACGGAGACACGGACCAGACGCCUAAGGGAGGCAGCAGUGGGGAAUAGUGCAGAAGGGGCGCAAGCCUGAUGCAGCCAUGCCGCGUGUAUGAAGAAGGCCUUAGGGUUGUAAAGUACUUUCAGCGGGGAGGCGUUACCCGCAGAAGAAGCACCGGCUAACUCCGUGCCAGCAGCGGCGGUAAUAC
rnacentral:rRNA from 1 species